GACAGAGGGUGCAAACGUUGCUCGGAAUUACUGGGCGUAAAGCGCGUGUAGGCGGACUGGUGUGUCGGAUGUGAAAUCCCCAGGCUCAACCUGGGAACUGCAUUCGAAACUGCCAGCCUUGAGUGGUGGAGAGGGAAGUGGAAUUCCUGGUGUAGAGGUGAAAUUCGUAGAUAUCAGGAGGAACACCGGUGGCGAAGGCGGGUCUCUGGGCCGUAACUGACGCUGAGGAGCGAAAGCAUGGGGAGCGAACAGG
rnacentral:rRNA from 1 species